GACGAACGCUGGCGGCGUGCCUAAUACAUGCAAGUAGAACGCUGAAGAGAGGAGCUUACUUUUCUUGGAUGAGUUGCGAACGGGUGAGUAAUGCGUAGGUAACCUGCCUUGUAGCGGGGGAUAACUAUUGGAAACGAUAGCCAAUACCGCACAACAAUGGAUGACACAUGGCAUUUAUUUGAAAGGGGCAAUUGCUCAACUACAAGAUGGACCUCAGUUGUAUUAGCUAGUAGGUGAGGUAAUGGCUCACCUAGGCGACGAUACAUAGCCGACCCGAGAAGGUGGUCGACUCACCUGGGACUGAGACACGGCCCAGACUCCUUCGGGAGGCAGCAGGAGGGAAUUUUUGGAAAUGGGGGCAACGCUGACCGAGCAACGGCGGGUGAGUGAAGAAGGUUCUCGGAUCGGAAAGCUCUGUUGUAAGGGAAGAACGGGUGUGAGGGUGGAAAGUUCGCACUGUGACGGUAGCUUAACAGAAAGGGACGGCUAACUACGUG
rnacentral:rRNA from 1 species